UAGGCGGCGAUAAUUCAAAUCUUAUCUUCACUCACUUUUUCCACAACCGCGAACCAGAGUGCAAGGAAUCUUCAAUCAACUCGAACAGCUAUCAUCAGAGACAUUUGGCCCAGGAAAGUUGCCACAGAAAGCCAUUAAAAGCUCACCAUUUGAGAGUGAAAUGGGAAACCGAUAAUUACGAAUAUGAUGAUUAUUUUGUGGGAGAGCUCCAUUCCGGCCGCCGUGAGCAAGUCGGCAACAGCUGCGACGUGGGAAAUUGAUUGUGACCAAAGUUAAAAAGAUUGGAAGAUACACCAAGAUAUGAUUCAAAUACAAAGAAAUACAUGCGCUACAAAAAUCCAA